GUGUAGUUCCUCUUUACGUGGAUUAACGCAGAGUAUCGUUAUCAAGAACAUCAUGGAGAAAUUUGAGACGCUUGUAAAGGAGCAACAGCUAAAGGAUCAGUUUGACAACUUGGAGAAGCACACACAGUGGGGUAUUGAGUUCACCGAGAAGUACACCAAAUUUGUUAAGGAAAGAUCGGAGAUUGAAGUCAGCUAUGCAAAACAAAUUAGAAAUUUAUCAAAGAAGUAUCAACCCAAGAAGAACUCGCGGGAAGAGGAAGAGAGCAAGUAUACCGUCUGUCGAGCCUUCCAACAAACGCUUAGUGAAUUGAAUGACUACGCGGGUCAGCACGAGCUUAUAUCGGAAAACCUGACAACGCAAAUCAUUAAUGAGCUGUCACGGUUCCUACAAGAACUCAAAAGUGAACGGAAAGCGCACUUUCAUGAAGGGCGUAAGGCACAGCAGCAAAUUGAAAGCUCGUGGAAACAACUGGAAUCAAGUAAAAAACGGUUUGAGAGGGACUGUAAAGAGGCGGAGAAGGCGCAACAGUAUUUUGAGAAGAUGGACGCGGACAUAAACGUGACUAAAGCUGAUGUUGAAAAGGCACGACAGCACGCUCAGAUGAGACAACAGAUGAUGUCGGACAGCAAGAAUGAGUACUCCUCCUACCUGCAGAAGUUCAACCAGGAGCAGAAUGACCAUUACUAUACCCACAUACCCAGUGUAUUUCAGAAACUUCAAGACAUGGAGGAGAGAAGAAUUGAGAAGUUGGGAGUGUGCAUGAAGACGUUUGCUGAUGUGGACCGCCAGGUGCUGCCCAUCGUGGAUAAGUGUUUAGACGGCAUGGUCAAAGCUGCAGAGUCCGUUGAGCCUAAGACUGACUCAAAUCAGGUGGUGGAGUCAUACAAGUCGGGGUUUGAGCCUCCAGGAGAUGUAGAGUUUGAAGACUAUGGACAGGCCAUGAAGAGGACGGUGUCAGAAACCAGUCUAUCCAAUUCCAGAGAGGUCAAAGAGAAAUCCACUGGCAAAAGUAAAGGCAAACUGUGGCCUUUUAUAAAGAACAAGAACAAGCUUAUGUCCCUGUUAACGUCCCCUCGCCAGCCCCCACCCGCCCCCCCAGCCACAUCCUCGCCCUCAUCCUCUGCUGUUCCCAACGACCCCCAGUCUCCCAAGCAGCACAAGGAGCCCCUGUCCCAUCGCCUCAACGACUUCAUGACGUCCAAACCCAAAAUACACUGCCUACGGAGCCUGAGGCGAGGGCUUUCUCUCAAGCUGAUCACACUCAAUUCCCACGUCCGGAAUCUCAUUGAGGGAUCUGGACCAGAGGACUUCAGCCAUCUCCCCCCUGAGCAAAGGAGAAAGAAAUUGCAGGGAAAGAUAGAUGAUAUAAAUAAGGACAUCCAGAAAGAGAUGGACACGAGGGACGGACUUUUGAAGAUGAAAGACGUGUACGCAAAGAACCCCCAAAUGGGUGACCCGGCCAGCGUAGACCCACGGCUAGCAGAAAUUGGACAGACCAUUGAAAAACUGCAGUCUGAAGUUCAGAAGUUUGAGGGUUGGCUCGCAGAGGUAGAAGAAAGAAUGCCUUCCAAAAGCGAUUCACAGAGAAGAAGUGUAAUUUAUGAAACGCAAAAUAGCACAACAGCAGUGAGCAACAACUGUGCACAAGACAGAGAGAGCCCGGAUGGCAGUUACACAGAGGAGCAGAACUCAGAGACUCAAGUCAAAGCCAGCACCAACCUUAACCCCACGACCUCCGCACCAGAGAACGACGAUGACGAUGAGUUUGAUGACGAAGAAACGCUGCCCACCAUUGGCACCUGUAAAGCUCUAUACCCGUUUGAAGGUAAAAAUGAGGGCACUAUAGCGAUAGCAGAAGGAGAGCUCCUGUAUGUCAUAGAACAAGACAAAGGCGACGGCUGGACACGAGUGCGCAGAAACGAGGAGGAGGAAGGAUACGUCCCUACAACUUACAUCGAGGUCUUUUUGGAAACGAAUGCCAAAGGUGCUAUGACAUAUAUUUAACUGAGCAAGUCUGUGUUUGUUGCAACAGUCUGGACUUGUCCGUUCCCAGGAAUGUUACUGCUAGCUCAGAAACAAUGCUUUAUUGGAGGGAUGGGCCAAUCAGAUCUGUCUGUGUGCCUCAAGACAAUUUAGACAGUAUUAUUGUAUAAAUUUUCUACUUGAAUGUUAUUCAUGUGGAGCUUGGAGUCAUACUACUAGUGCCACCUAGUGUUUAUAGUAUAUCACAAAUGCUUUGGAAAUGUAAAUAUUUAUGAUUUAAUAUACAGUCUCAAAUAUUUCCGCUUUGAUCAUUUUACAUAGUUCUUGUAAGUACUUUUAUGCACUUUUUUUUAUUGUAUCCUAUAGAUCAAAAUAUAAGCUAUUGUGUUUUGGUCAAUUGUAGCCAGUAUAAAUGCAUGCUACUACUGAACAAUCAUGCAGAUAGAAAUGCAUUUUAAACCUGCUGUAAGAUAGAGCUAAAGAAAGAUAUUUUUUUAGAUUAAUAAAAAUAAUAAUAAUAACAAAAAGUCUCCUUCUGUGGCAUGCUGUAAAAUGCACAUUAUACAACAGUACGAGAAGGCUUUGAACACAGUAUUUGUAGACCAGGUAUAUAUUUCAUUUUAUAAAACAUUAGACUAAGAUAUAAAAACGUUUUUCCCUUGUUGUAUUUACUUCUAAUAAUGAUGGUUGAGAGUUGUUCUGGUCCUUUUUUCCAGGCCUUUGGUAAAGGAAUAAAGACCUAAGUUAGUGUUCUGUUAAACGAUUCCUUGAAGUCAGCGUGAGGUUGGCUGAGGAAUGGCAGGGCAAGCAGUCUUGGAGAAAAACAACCACUUUCUUCAAAUGCACUUAAAGUGCACCUAACAUCACCUAAAGUUUAAACAAUUUCAGUUUUGCCUAACCAUUUCAAAAUGAUCAGCUACAAAGUACAAUUUCUGAGAUCAAAAAUCUUUCUCAUUCCUAACAACAACACCACUCACAAGCACAAACUUAGCUUUUUGCUUUGCUUUAAAUGAACUAACUUCUGCUUGCAAAUUGACCACCUCUCCUUUCGUAUACCUUUUGCUUUUUUGCACACACACUGGACAGAGGGUGUGGUUGGAGAAUGGACAAUGACCAGCAUGGAUAUAAUUAUGAGCAACAGGAAGAAUUCAUGUACCACCUUCAUCUGGCAGUGUGUUUGUGAGAAAGUCAUUCCAACCAUUAGGAUACUAAUGCACCCUGAGAUACUUCUGCUGGUUUUUGUGGCUAAUCUGACUGUAAAAUGUGCUUUAUUCAUACCAAAAUGUAUAUCUUUGUUUUAAAUGGCUUAACUUGCUGCAUGGAAACAGUUGCAGUGUGUUCUGUCAUCUGUAUUGUGACUUGAAUUGCCAUUACACUUGGUUAAAUUAACAGUGCCAUUUAAUGUGUUUACGGUAUCCCCAGAUCACCAAUUAUACGUAACAUUAUGACCACUGGUGAAUAACACUGUUUAUAGACUUCAUUAUGACACCUGUGAGUAGAACAUAGGCUUCAAUUUUAUAUAUUUAAAUGCUUAAAAAUAACUAAUGUUUAGUUCGGUGGUCAUAUUGUUGCGUCGGAUUGGUUUUCAUUUGUUUACUCUGUUUCUGUGAAGUGUAUUGACACAGCAUAUGGUAUACAGUUAAAUGUUGCUUUAGGACAUCAUGUUUGCCUGUCUGUGGUAUGUGUGUGUGAGAAUAUGAAGAUUUUCCACCACUCCUAUUGAACCCCAUGUUCUGUGUCACUUGUCUGUUUUCUCUGACCACACCCCUCUUCUUUUAUACCUAUAUAUAUAUAUAUAUAGUCCCCUACCUGUUUUUGACCCCUCCCGUCACAAGCUGCUACAUACCAACAGUUGCUACUUGUACACUUCUAUACAUCUUGCAGGGAGUCUUUCAGCAUUGUGAUUUGCUGCAUGCUUGCCCUGUCUUCCUCCCUGCCCCUCUGCUGUGGCAAACCCAGUCUGUAUUGGCUCUUUCUGUUAAGUUAACUUGCCUGGUCAAGCUGUUUUGAAUUAAUCUGGAAAUCACUGAUUUUGGUUCUGCGCCUGUGUAAAUACUUCAUGUUUAGUUUCAGAUGGCAUGUUUCCCUGUUCUUUUCUUCCUCAGUGUUACACCUAUUCUGCAAGGUUGUUUUCUGGGAGGUCAUAUGCAUAAAUGGAUGUCUUUGUAUUCUGUUUUACUUUAAGUACACAGAGCGGUAUGUAUGUUACGUGUUAAUAUUGUAAGUUAUGAUCAGGGUGUUUUAUGCAAGUUUGUAGCCAUUAUCACAAUGAGUUUGUUAUCUACUGUAUAUGAAAAUAUACUGUGAGCUUUUUAGUUUCCAGGAGUGACCAGAUGGAGCUCUUAGAGCCAUAAUAACCAGUUUAUCACUGAGACAAAAUAGAGUCAAUGCAGGUACAGUACAUGGAAGAAAAAUGUGACGUCUUCUAAAUCAGUGAUUCUAGUGAUUCACUGAUUUUUCUCAAAGGAAUACAGAUUUCAAUCAACUUUUUAAGUUUUCUUUUUUAAUGUAUCUUUUUUAGCCCAGAAUGUAUUGCCUAUAUAAUAUAAGUCAAAUUUACAAAGUUUUGUAUUUUGGAUUAAGCCAUUAAUGUGUUGUUCAUCAUGUUUCUAUUAACACAUAAGUUGGAAAGGUGGGAAGUGAAAAAUUGACCAUCUGGAAGGAUCGAUCAAACCCUGCUGUGCCAUAGCAUCAAGCUCAAUGCCUCGUCUUUUUAUGUCAAGAAAACAAGCAACAGUUUAUAAUGACAAUACAUAGGUCAGAAUAGGAAAGCUAUUCAACCCGAUCAUGUCCCUUUAGCCAUGCCCAAGAAAAACUUUGUACAGUGGAAAUGGAGGGAUGGAACCAGAGAGAGUAUAUAUGAAUAUAUAAAGUUUUCAAAGGAAACCUCUAUUUUAACUAUUGAGAGUCUUACCAAUACUUUAUCUGCUUUGCAAAGUAAGACUUGUUUUCUUUUGUGAGGUCUACCAAAUGGUGUGUCUUUGCACUUUCCAUUGUGUCCAUUUGGUGGGCCAUGCUUGUGUUUCAGAGCACUGAAUACGUUGUAUUGUGUUUACUGUGCCAAUUAAAUAUGCCUGGAAAAAAAA